AUGCUCAUUUUAGCAGCUCAUAUACUAAAGUUGGAAUGAUACAGAGAAGAUUACUACGGCCCAUUUGCGGAGAUGAUACAUAAAUUUGUGAUGCAUUCCAGUGCCAA
ensembl:snRNA U6 U6 spliceosomal RNA